GGGGAAUUUUGGACAAUGGGCGCAAGCCUGAUCCAGCAAUGCCGCGUGCAGGAUGAAGGCCUUCGGGUUGUAAACUGCUUUUAUAAGGGAAUAAAGUGAGGCACGUGUGCCUUAUUGUAUGUACCUUAGGAAUAAGCAUCGGCUAACUCCGUGCCAGCAGCCGCGGUAAUACGGAGGAUGCAAGCGUUAUCCGGAUUUAUUGGGUUUAAAGGGAGCGUAGGCGGACUAUUAAGUCAGCUGUGAAAGUUUACGGCUCAACCGUGAAAUUGCAGUUGAAACUGGUCGUCUUGAGUGCAGUAAAGGUGGGCGGAAUUCGUGGUGUAGCGGUGAAAUGCUUAGAUAUCACGAAGAACUCCAAUUGCGAAGGCAGCUCACUGGAGUGUAACUGACGCUGAUGCUCGAAAGUGUGGGUAUCAAACA
rnacentral:rRNA from 1 species